rnacentral:tRNA from 1 species
GCCGAGGUAGCUCAGUUGGUUAGAGCAGCUGUUUUGUAAACAGCAGGUCGUGAGUUCGAAUCUCACCCUCGGCUCUA